CCUACGGGUGGCAGCAGUAGGGAAUAUUGCUCAAUGGGGGAAACCCUGAAGCAGCAACGCCGCGUGGAGGAUGAAGGUUUUCGGAUUGUAAACUCCUUUUGUUAGAGAAGAAAAUGACGGUAUCUAACGAAUAAGAAACGGCUAACGCCGUGCCAGCAGCCGCGGUAAUACGGAGGGUGCAAGCGUUAGUCGGAAUCACUGGGCGUAAAGAGCGCGUAGGCGGGAUAGCAAGUCAGAUGUGAAAUCCUAUGGCUUAACCCUAGAACUGCAUUUGAAACUGUUAUUCUAGAGUAUGGGAGAGGUAGGUGGACUUCUUGGUGUCGCGGUCAAAUCCUUAGAGAUC
rnacentral:rRNA from 1 species